rnacentral:rRNA from 1 species
UACGUAGGUGGCAAGCGUUGUCCGGAACUAUUGGGCGUAAAGGGCUCGCAGGCGGUUUCUUAAGUCUGAUGUGAAAGCCCACGGCUUAACCGUGGAGGGUCAUUGGAAACUGGUCGACUUGAGUGCAGAAGAGGGAAGUGGAGUUCCAUGUGUAGCGGUGAAAUGCGUAGAGAUAUGGAGGAACACCAGUGGCGAAGGCGGCUUCCUGGUCUGUAACUGACACUGAGGCGCGAAAGCGUGGGGAGCAAACAGGAUUAGAUAACCGGGUAGUCCCU